rnacentral:rRNA from 1 species
GUGAGGAAUAUUGGGCAAUGGGCGAAAGCCUGACCCAGCCACGCCGCGUGAGUGAUGAAGGCCUUCGGGUUGUAAAGCUCUGUGGGGAGGGAAGAAAAAGCGGGAGAGUAACUGCUCUCGUGUUGACGGUACCUCCUUAGCAAGCACCGGCUAACUCUGUGCCAGCAGCCGCGGUAAUACAGAGGGUGCGAACGUUGCUCGGAAUUACUGGGCGUAAAGCGCGUGUAGGCUGACAUGCAAGUCGGGUGUGAAAUCCCAGGGCUCAACCUUGGAACUGCACUCGAAACUGCACGUCUUGAGUACUGGAGAGGGAAGCGGAAUUCCGGGUGUAGAGGUGAAAUUCGUAGAUAUCCGGAGGAACACCAGUGGCGAAGGCGGCUUCCUGGACAGUAACUGACGCUGAGACGCGAAAGCGUGGGGAGCAAACAGGAUUAGAUACCCGUGUAGUCC